rnacentral:lncRNA from 1 species
GAGAACAGGCUGGAAGCCCCGGAGGCUGGCUGGGAGGCAGCGGGCGGGAGGAAGGGGCAGGGGCUUUGGAGCAAGCGCGCCUGGAACCGAACUCGCGGUCGACCUCGCCCUGGCUGGUUCGCCGGCUGGGCGGCCGUGCGGGGCGUGGUCUCUGAGAGGGGGCUGCAGACCCCCAGGGCGCAGGCGUGCUGGGGAGGGGAUGCGCGUGUUCGCCGAGCGCUGGGCCGAGGGAAGGAGCUCGAGGUGGGCGCCCCGGGGGAGAGGGGGCUGCACACCUCUCCCCCAUAACCCUCCCUAAGGCCCCAGCAGCCCCUGAAAGGAAAGCCUUCCUCUGCCAGCCGCCGCCUGUUUCUCUUCUCCAGAGCCAGUUCCAGAUUCAUCCCGCGGGCUCUCAAAGGGGAUCACAGUCCCCGCGGGGAUGAACUGAGACCAGCAGUGGUGGCCCCGAGAUCGUGGCAUCCCCCUGUGCUCUGCGGCACAGGCGGGCACCGGGAGGGAGGAGGAGCCACACCCCCGAGGGCCUCCUGUCGUGGGGCGCCUGGCUCGGAGAGGGGCCGGUGUCGGAGUCUGCUCCCCCGGCGGUACCGCGCUGGGCGGCUGGCACAGCAGACGUUUUCCCCACGCCUGGAGGCUGGACGUCCAAGGUCCGGUGUCAGCAGGGUUGGUUCCUUCUGAGGCCUCUCUCCCUGGCCUGUAGACGGCUGGCUUCUCCGUGUCUUCACGUGGUCUUCCCUCUGUAUCCGCCUGUGUCCUAAUCUCCUCUUCCUAGAAGGACGUCAGCCAUGUUGGACUAGGGUCCACCCUGAUGACCUCACUUUAACUUCAUCACCUCUUUAAAGGCCCUGUCUCCAAAUACAGUCAAGGUUUGAGGUGCUGACGCUCAGGACUUCCACGUCCGAAUUUUGGGGGCACACAAUUUAGCCCAUAACAGGUGGCCAGCCUCCAAGGUGGCCCCCAAUGAUCCUGCCUCCUUCUACUCACACCCUUGUGACGUCACUUCCUACCCUAUCCUGGGGUUGGCCCAUGUGACCAAUAGUACAUGGCGGAAGUGAUGGUGUAUCACUUCCCAUGGGAGGGUAUAAAAGACCCCAUUUCUGUGCUGGUUACUCUUGCUCUCUCUUGGAUCAUUUGCUCUGGGGGAAGCUGGCUGCCAUGUCAUGAGCCUGAUGUGGCCGGGAACUGAGGCCCCCUACCAACAGCCCCGAGAGCUAGCGGUUGUGACAACAGGGCCUUCAGCUGCAGUUAAACCCUCAGAUAACUACAAACCCCUGAGACCCUGAGCCAGAACCGCCCAGCUUGGCUGCUCCUGGACUCCUGAUGCUCAGAAUCUAGGGCCUUGCAGUGCCUGGGGCCUGGCGAGGAAGUGAAUCGAAAUGAGCAGUUAUCCAUCACCUACUGUGUGCCAGCGCUGGGCUAGCUGUGUGAUUUAAUUUCAUAUUUAGAGGGAACUUGAGAAGCAUGUAUUUCUAUCAUUGCCUGACAGAGGAAAGAAAUCGGGUUCAGGGAGCUGAGACAGAACAUGUGAGGUCUAUUUCCCAGCUGGUGAGGAAGGAUGUGAUCAGUUCUCCUUCUCUCCACGUGCUCAGCUGCACCAAGGUCUCCGGCCUUGCCCCUCCACCAGGCUAUAUUAAUGAGAAGGGAGCCAGACUUCAAAGAGCCUUAUUUAGACACGUGUGUUGAAGUACUUGCCAUGUACCUGGCACUGGAGGGAGAAGGAAGCAACAGGAGCAGAGUCCUUGUCCCUGAGACUUGGGAGGAGAAGACCUCACACUGGAUCAUAUUCACUUGAUUACUUGAGACAGAAGGAAGCACAAAAGGGUGUGCGAGAUGAGG